rnacentral:rRNA from 1 species
UACAGAGGGUGCAAGCGUUAAUCGGAAUUACUGGGCGUAAAGCGUGCGUAGACGGUUACAUAAGUCGGGUGUGAAAGCCCCGGGCUCAACCUGGGAAUUGCAUUCGAGACUGCGUAGCUAGGGUGCGGAAGAGGGAAGUGGAAUUUCCGGUGUAGCGGUGAAAUGCGUAGAUAUCGGAAGGAACAUCAGUGGCGAAAGCGACUUCCUGGUCCAGCACCGACGUUCAGGCACGAAAGCGUGGGGAGCAAACAGG